UACGUAGGGCGCAAGCGUUGUCCGGAAUUAUUGGGCGUAAAGAGCUCGUAGGUGGCUUGUUGCGUCUGCCGUGAAAGCCCGUGGCUUAACUACGGGUCUGCGGUGGAUACGGGCAGGCUAGAGGCUGGUAGGGGCAAGCGGAAUUCCUGGUGUAGCGGUGAAAUGCGCAGAUAUCAGGAGGAACACCGGUGGCGAAGGCGGCCUGCUGGGACAUGGCUGACGCUGAGGCGCGACAGCGUGGGGAGCAAACAGG
rnacentral:rRNA from 1 species